rnacentral:tRNA from 3 species
GCAGGAAUGGCGGAAUGGCAGACGCGCUAGUUUCAGGUUCUAGUGAGAUUUCUCGUGUGGGUUCAAGUCCCAUUUCCUGUACCA